UACGUAGGGUGCAAGCGUUAGUCCGGAAUUAUUGGGCGUAAAGAGCUCGUAGGCGGUUUGUCGCGUCUGCCGUGAAAGUCCGGGGGCUCAACUCCGGAUCUGCGGUGGGUACGGGCAGACUAGAGUGAUGUAGGGGAGACUGGAAUUCCUGGUGUAGCGGUGAAAUGCGCAGAUAUCAGGAGGAACACCGAUGGCGAAGGCAGGUCUCUGGGCAUUAACUGACGCUGAGGAGCGAAAGCAUGGGGAGCGAACAGG
rnacentral:rRNA from 1 species